rnacentral:misc_RNA from 1 species
AAAACAGUUAAAUUUUAGAAAUUUUGCAAUAGCAAUGUAUGUGUUUGAUGAAAUGUCUGUUCCAACUUCUCCCAAAAGUGGUAACAAAAUGGAACCUGGAAUGCUCCUUGAAGAAAGUUGGUUUUUUGGAAACUUACUUGAUAGAAAAUCAAGAAUGUUGAGAUGUUAUUCUGAGCCUUGUUCUUCUUCAAAGAAAACCCAAGAUUUUUUAUCUGGAAAAUCCAUGGAAGAAACAUUUUCUUCACUGCAAAAACUCCCACA